rnacentral:rRNA from 1 species
GACGAACGCUGGCGGCGUGCUUAACACAUGCAAGUCGAACGGAAAGGCCCUGCUUGCAGGGUACUCGAGUGGCGAACGGGUGAGUAACACGUGGGUGAUCUGCCCUGCACUUCGGGAUAAGCCUGGGAAACUGGGUCUAAUACCGGAUAGGAGCCAUUUUUAGUGUGAUGGUUGGAAAGUUUUUUCGGUGUAGGAUGAGCUCGCGGCCUAUCAGCUUGUUGGUGGGGUAAUGGCCUACCAAGGCGGCGACGGGUAGCCGGCCUGAGAGGGUGGACGGCCACAGUGGGACUGAGAUACGGCCCAGACGCCUACGGGAGGCAGCAGUGGGGAAUAUUGCACAAUGGGCGCAAGCCGGAUGCAGCGACGCCGCGUGGGGGAUGACGGCCUUCGGGUUGUAAACUCCUUUCGCUAGGGACGAAGCUUUUUGUGACGGUACCUAGAUAAGAAGCACCGGCUAACUACGUG